GGGGAGUAGCUCAGAUGGAAGAGCGCUCGGCUCUGGACCGAGAGGUCGCCGGUUCGACCCCGGCCUCCCCUG
rnacentral:tRNA from 1 species